UACGUAGGGAGCAAGCGUUGUCCGGAAUCAUUGGGCGUAAAGCGCGCGUAGGUGGCUUCGUAAGUCCGUUGUGAAAGUCAAAGGCUCAACCUUUGAAAGCCGAUGGAUACUGCGGAGCUAGAGUACGGAAGAGGCGAGUGGAAUUCCUGGUGUAGCGGUGGAAUGCGCAGAUAUCAGGAGGAACACCAAUAGCGAAGGCAGCUCGCUGGGACGUUACUGACACUGAGGCGCGAAAGCGUGUGGAGCGAACAGG
rnacentral:rRNA from 1 species